CAUGCUGCCCCUGCCCCCAAGGGCUGCCUCUGCAGCUCCCAUUGGCUGGGAACCAUGGCCAAUGGGAGCUACAAGGGCGGUGCCUGCUGAUGGGGCAGUGUGCUGAGCUGUCUGGCCGUGCCUCUGCGUAGGAGUCAGAGAGGGGACAUGCUGCUGCUUCUGGGAGCUGCUUAAGGUUCACUAACUGGCAGAUGGUGUGGCUUGCCAUAAAAUGCUUAAUUAUAAUAUCCUCAGCAGAGAGAAUAGUUGCUUAAUGGGCAUGGAAACUGAGCUACCUCUAAAUGAAGUCCCUUCAAGCAAAAGCUGAGUCAUACUGACAGGGUAGCAGGGGCUAAUGAAAGUGAGGGUCUCCAAGCACCAGCCUCAGCCAGGCCUAAUAAGGGAAGGUCUUCAGUCCUAAGUACCCUGCCAUUCCAUUCCUGUGCAUCUUUGGAGCAGUCAUGCUACAGUAUGCCAAGUUGUCUGGAGGUUAUGUGAUGUGGAAAAUCUUUGGUCUGCGGAGGAGAAAGGCAAGUGUAUUAUUUCAAUGUUCCACUGAGCUGUCCCAGCCCCUUUGUCUUGCCUGAAGGGCCUAAAUUUCAGAG